rnacentral:piRNA from 1 species
UGAGACUACCACAUACUGAAGAGUAUUGG